AAAAAAAAAAAAGGGGCAAAACAAAAAAAGUCUCAAAAUUCAGUUGAACAAAAAAAUCCCAUUGAAAAACUGAAGUGCAAUUUCUGUCUUCCAAACAAACAUAGAAAAAGCAUAUAAAUGCUCAGCCAACACAUUUAACAAAGAUUAACAAAACUCAGGUUACCAGAAGAAAACCUCUUCUUAGUAAAUAUACAAUAAAUAGCAGCUCAGCAAUCCAGACAACUAUUGCUGCACCUCCCUGUGCUUCAUAAGCCUGUUAAAAAGAGCAUUAGUGGUCAUUAAUAACUGGCAGUCCUUGGGAGCUUCCUUGCAGGCCCGUUCCAGUGUCCAGCCCCCUCUCCUUAUGACCUGACCUCUGGGGCCAGCCCCGGGCAGAGGAGAGGCUGGAGAGCUGGCCUGUCCUUGCUCGCCUUUGUCACUGAGAGGGCUGUCCCCUAAUGCCAUCCCUGCAGUGCUUCCUGGGUUGGAAGAACCUGGAGCUGAUCUAAUCAGCCUUUAUGUGCCUUUUUCUCCUCCAGGGUUAGAAAAUCUCUAGAUGGGAGUCAUCCACAACAGAUCUUACUCUUCAAUAGGACUAAAUUCCCCAGACCAUGUUGAGAAUACUGCAUCCAGUUUUGGGCCCCUCCAUACAAAAUGGACACCAAUGGUUCGGUUGGUCUGGGGCUGGAGCCCUGUAAGGAAAGGCUGAGGGAAGGGGACUUGCUCAGCUUGGGGAACAGAUGGAUUCAGGCACCUACCAGGGACCUGCCAGUGCCUGCACAGAGGUUCUGGAGGAGAUGGAGUCAGGCCCAUGGUGCGUUGCAGAGGGCAAGAAGCUGAAACGAGAUGCUGAGGCUGGCCAAAGCCCUGACCAACCCCAGCUUGAGCUUGUGGCUGACCCUGCAUAGUGCAGCAGUUUGGACCAGAGCCCUCCUGUGGUCCCUUCCCACCUCAAUUAUCCUGAUUCCAAAAUCCCUCUCUGGCAACUAAUGAUCAUCCAAACAUACUACCGAAGAAUCCUCUAAAAUAUUCCAGCACAGGUGAUCUAUAACUGACAAUGUUAAAUCAGCCAUAGGUUAAAUAAAAUACUGAAUAAUGGUGCAUAUAAGAAAAAAAUGCCAAAUUAGAUUCUUUUUAAUAGGAACAAUGAAGAAGGAGGUUUUUUUAGAAUUAGAGCUACAUCUUGAAUCCAAAGCAAGUGACUGCAAACACAGACAUCAAAUCUGUUGGUGACUGGAGAGAAUAGGAAUUAAUAUCAGUAUUUAAAAAUCAAGUAAGAUGAUCAACUAGAAAGUCCUUCCCUAAUAUUUGACUGCAGAAAAUCUGUAAAGACUGAAGAAAAACAAGUGAGAACACAGUCCUGUGUAAACUUAGGCAGAAUCAGAAUUUUUCAUUUAAUCCCAGAUUUACCAGUUCAUUGAAGACCAAAGUUCAGGGCUUAGGAAACCUACUGAUAAGUGCACUUAAAAGCUGAAAGCUCUUAUGGAGUACAUAUAUGGAGAAAAUCACACUACAAACUGUGUGACUGAAUUUUUGUCCCACCCAGCUGUCUCUUGGGUGUUUCACAGUCUCUCCACUGCCUAGGAAGCUUUCUGCCCAAAGCUUUCCAAAUCCAAAGUAUUUGAGAUCCCAUAACUAUAGGGUAUCUGCUAGAACAAGGAACUCAGAUUUGAAAAAUCGCUUCCAAAUAAUAACUGAGUCUUUUUCUUCACAUACAAGGGCUUUAGGAUUAAAUUUUAGACAAAUUUUCUGCCACACCAUACAAGUUUUCAAAGAUCCAUAAAAAGAACAAAUAUUAGCUCAGAAAACAUCUAGAAUUAUUUUUCUUUCUCUCUUUCCAAAGAUACUUGCCUAGCCACUUAAGACUUUCAUUACCAGAUAAAUGAUUCCUGUAUAAAAAGACAGUUUGUGAAAGGGUUUAAUGACUUUUCCACACAGAAGCCUCUCUAUAAAUAAAAUCUUACGUGCACUGCACUUUUCUAGUUUAUACAACUCUAGCUGACCUGAAGUUUAUACAACUGUUGGAAACACAGAAAUGCACUAGUAGAUCAUAUUUUUUCUCAGCUAUUAAUGUUUGCAGCAUUGGAACAAAGUCUUGUGUUACUUCUUUCAUAUACUGGUAUUACACUUAAAAACCCGUGAUGAAUAAAGCGUUCACUUUUUAACAGAA